rnacentral:lncRNA from 1 species
CGGCUAUGGCACUUGGUGUGGCAAAUGUAGAACUUGUACUUUCUAAUCUCCUUUACGCUUUUGAUUGGGAGUUGCCUUGUGGAAUGAAAAGAGAAGACAUUGACACCGAUGUUCUGCCAGGACUUACUAUGCAUAAGAAAAAACCUUUGUGCCUUGUUCCUCAAAAUUAUCUCUAGAAAUUAAACAAGAAAAAACUCCAAUGUUUAAAUUAUUUAAAUAUGUAUGUAUGAUUUCGUUAGUUAUCCAUGUUUAAUAUGGUCAUAUUGUUUUAUGUCUGUUAUUUUUCGUUUUAAACUUGUAAUGGAGUAGUUGAAGAGGGGAAAACAUUUUCACAAAUAUUUUUUUCUUUGUUAUUUCAUAUUCAAUUAUAUAAAUUUUCAUGUAACAUAAUAAGGUAUUAUUUAUAAAUAAAAUAAAAGCAGCAAUCAAUGAACCAUAUUUUAAAAGUUCUAUUUAAACCAUCCAAACGACCCUUUAGUUUGUGAAACACAUCGUGCAGCAAUUACAAGAUGCAUUAAUAAUCAGAAUCAAUAAUCCUCUUAUCUCUUGAUACGACUGUGGAUUCAAAAUUAAACUUGAUGAAUUUGAUUUUAAUCUUUUUUUAAAAAUUAAAUUUAAAAAUUAGAAGUACAAAUUUAAUAUUUUAAUUUUAGUGAAUUUUCACAUAUUAAGAUAUGCCUCAACAAAAAAAAAAAACUGGAUUAGAAUGAGAGCUAGUUGCAUCUCUGCCAUUGAUCCUCAUUGUCUAUACUAACACAUGUUAUAAAAUUCAUUUUCACGACUUAUAUGCCAUGUAGGUAUCAAUUUACAUCAUGGCAAUUAAGUACAUGUAGAAAUUAACAAGUUGUGUAAAAGUUGAUUAACUGAUAGGUGGGGGUGGAUAUAACUAGUUAUAACUAGAGCGUUGUAUAUAAAUGGGAAAAUCGUAUAUAAUAGCAAAUUAUUAAUUCAAAUUAAAUGCUAUAAACAUGUUUGAUUUAAUUGUACCCCAUAGCAAACUGUUGCUAUUUCGCCUCUCUCCCUGAAUCUCGCUCGCUACUCUCGUUCUCGCUGGGCAGUCUCGCUCGCCUCUCUCGCUUUUAUACAAGAACAAAUGUAUAAAAUGUGUUUGUGUUUAUAUAAAGUGAAAGAAAAUUAUAUAUAUACAUAUAUUUUCAUUCCCCUCUCCCAGAUCUCGCUCGCCACUCUCACUCGCCUCUCUCACUUUAUACAAACACAAAUGUAUACAUUGUGUUUGUGUUUGUAUAAAGCGAGAGAAAAUUGUAUAUACAAAUACAAAUGCAUAUAUUUUUGUCCUAUACACUUAUGAUUAUACAUAUACGAUCUUCCCCUACCCAAUUUUCUUUUGUCUUUUUCUCUUUCUCGCUUUAUACAAACACAAAUUAUACAAUUGAUUCUUUUGUAUAUGUAUACCGAAACAAAUUAUACAAUUGUUUCUUUUGUAUAUAUGUAUAGCGAAAUAGCUAUACAAAUUAUGCAAACAAUAAUUAUAUCAUACAAAUAUGAUUUUUGUGUUUGUUAUAUAUGAAAGUUAUUCCUUUUAUAAACCCUCGUGGAGUCAUGGUGGGAGGGAGGUUUUAAGGAAAAAGGUUGACAUUAAUCCUUACUCGUAUAUUCUAAAAUAGCAAAAAAAUUCAUAGGAGGACACAAACCAAACCUCUUUUAUCCUAAUGGUCAACUAAAAAUACAAAGGCGUGGGGUCGAUGCGCCUUACAAGACACAUACAAACUUGCAGGCUUUGUCUGCUUGCGCCUUCUAAGGCGCAUAGGUGCCCGUGCCUUGCUACCCUAAUUUAAAUGAUGUCCAAUCUACCGUUUAAAUGUUGUCCUUUUGGUUUCAAACUUAUUUUUAUUUUUCUUUUGUAAUUUUUGGUCAAUUUUUUUACCCUUUUGGCUCUAGACUCCAUAGAAGUAUACGCUCCACAAUUGCAACACCAAGUGCAAUGUCGGCAGAGACCAUUGCCUUUAUUAUCCCAGCUCAAGCACACAAAAUAUUUCUCAGUAAAUUGAUCUCUUAUAGAUAUUUGACUUUAAAAAUGAUGAGUUUAAAUUUAUUAUUUUAUUAUAGUGAAUUUUUACAUAUUAAAAUAUGCCUUGUACAAAUUAUAACUAGAUUCGGAUGAACCCGUUGGCUAGCUGCAUUUACCACUGGUCCUCAUUGUCUAUAUUGACACAUGCUAUAAAACUCAUUUUCAUGACUUAUAUAUAUGCCAGGUAGGUAUCAAUUUAAAUUAAUGUUUUGGACAUUUCUUGUUGCAAUUGAAAAAAAUUAAGUGAUUUUCAGAGAUUUGAGAGGGAAAUUAACAAGUUGUGUAAAGAUGAUUAAGUGAUAGGUGGGGGUGGAUCUUGCUAUAUAAAGUAGUGUCAUUUAUGAAUUUACGUGAAUUAAUUAAUUUGAGAUUAUUAAAAUUUUUUCUCAUAAAUCUUAUUUGUAUCCACCUCAAUAAUAAUAAUGAAAUAAUACAAGAAGACAAAAUAUGAGAAGUAUAAUAUUUUCCAUGAAAAAUUAUUAUCCUUCGUGCCAAACAAGCCCUUACUUGUUAGUAUAAAUGAAAGAAACAACAGAAAAUUUUAAUACAAGACAUCAAGUGACUUUGUACAAAAUUUCAAUAUUGCCAAAAUAAAAUAAAAUAUGUUCUUUCCAUUCUUUGUAGCCCUUGUUAUCAUCAUUAUUCUCAGUUUUCUUCUUCCAAAAGUAAAAAAGAAAGAAAAAAACAUCCUGCCACCAGGUCCUUUAAGGUUACCAUUCAUUGGAAAUUUGCAUCAGUUUGAUGGUUUAACCCCUCAUAUCUAUUUUUGGAAACUUUCCAAGAUAUAUGGAAAAAUAUUCUUAUUGAAACUUGGUUCUACUCCAAUAAUUGUAAUUUCUUCAGCAAAAUUAGCAAAAGAAGUAAUGAAAACACAAGAUUUAGCAUUUUGCAGUAGACCUUCUAUUUUGGGCCAGCAAAAAUUGUCUUACAAUAAUCAAGAUAUUGCCACUUCACCUUACAAUGACCACUGGAAAGAGCUUCGAAAAAUAUGUGUUGGUCAUUUAUUUAGUCUAAACAAAGUACAAUCUUUUAUUCCAAUUCGUGAAGAUGAAGUAUCAAGAAUGAUCAAGAAAAUAUCUCAACAAGCUGUAACUUCCCGGAUUACCAAUUUGAGUAGUAUAUUGAUUUCACUAACGACUACAAUUAUUUGUAGAGUUGCUUUUGGUAUUAGGUAUGAUGAAGAAACACACGAAAGGAGGAAUUUUAAUGAACUUUUAAAAGUGACUGAAGAAAUGUUGGCAGGCUUUUUUGUCUCUGAUUAUUUUCCUCUCUUAGGAUGGAUUGAUAAACUCUCCGGAAAAAUAAAUAAACUUGAGAAGAAUUUUAAGGAUUUGGAUGAGUUUUAUGAAGGACUCAUUGAGCAACAUCUCAAUCCCAAUAGGCCAAAAUCCAUGGAAGAAGGAGAUAUUAUUGAUCUUUUACUCCAAUUGAAGAAAGAGAAGUCAACUCCAAGCGAUCUUACUUUGGACAACAUAAAGGCUAUUGGUGGCUAUGUUUUUAUCCUCCCAUUUUUUCUCGUAGAAUAUGCUAGUUGCUGGAACAGACACUAGCGCAGCUACAGUAAUUUGGGCAAUGACAGCCUUGAUGGCAAAUCCAAAUUCCAUGAACAAAGUUCAAGCAGAAAUUAGAGAAUCGGUUGGGGAAAAGUCCAUAGUGAAUGAAGAUAACGUCCAAAAUCUUCCAUAUUUUAAAGCAGUGAUAAAAGAGACAUUUAGAUUGUAUCCAGCAGUUCCAUUGUUAGUAGCAAGAGAGACGAUGCAAAAUUCCAUACUAGAAGGAUAUGAAAUUAAACCAAAAACUAUAGUUUAUGUUAAUGCUUGGGCAAUUGGAAGGGAUCCUGAAAUAUGGAAAAAUCCAGAAGAAUUUAUACCUGAGAGGUUCUUAAAUAAUGAUAUUGAUUUUAAGGGCCAAGAUUUUGAGUUGAUUCCAUUUGGAGCAGGUAGAAGAGGGUGCCCAGGUAUAGCACUUGGUGUGGCAAAUGUGGAACUUGUACUUUCCAAUCUUCUUUACGCUUUUGAUUGGGAGUUGCCUCGUGGGAUGAAAAUAAAAGACAUUGACACUGAUGUUUUGCCUGGAAUCAUACCACAUAAGAAAAAACCGUUGUGCCUUGUUCCUAGAAAUUAUCACUAGAAAUUGAACAAGACCAAACUCCAGUGUUUAAAUUAGUUAAAUAUGUAUGUAUAACUUUGUUAGUUAUCCAUGUUUAAUAUGGUCGUAUGGUUUUAUGUCUGUCACUUUUUGUUAUAAACUUGUAAUGCAGUAGUUAUUUCAAUAAAAUCUCUCUUCUAGUUCCAAAAGAUAUCGCGGAAAAAUGAAAAGAAAAGCAUUUUUCUUAUGCGUAAUAAUUCCAAGUAAAAUGUCUGUUAUCUUUAUCACAAAAGUUAAUUUCCAAUCAAAUGCAUAUAGAAGCAUAAGCUCUAGUACUGUUGCAACACCAAGUGCAAUACCUAUGGAGAACAUUAUUGCCUUUAUUGUCACAGCUCAAGCACACGCGACAUAUAUUGUUUGUUUUGGCCAAACACACCUUACGACUAUACUCCUUCAUCAGAAAGUUGUAGGUGAGGUUUGUCCUACUACCUAACUAAGGUAAUAUCAUUCAUAGGGAAUGUUCUAUUAAUAUCAUAUUUGUCAUAGCCCAAUUGAAAAACAUGUAUUAUCUACAUUGCCCAAUAACACUCAUAUAUUUCUUCCUUGGCUAUGCCAUCAGUGAGCCCAAAAACGGUACAUACCAUAUGAACUUAUGUUAUUCUUUAUAAAUUUUCUUACUUUUCUCCCCCAUUCCGACCGAUGUGAGAUUCCAAUAUAUUGUAACCUUUACCCCUUCUUCCUAAUUUAAUUUAGAAUUUCUUUUCCUUGACCAUGUAUUAACCCAAAUAUUUGGACCCAAACUAAAGCUUUGAUAUUUUUGAGUUUAUCAAUUCCUUCCCCUUCUAAUAGGAAACAAUAUCAAUUAUUUAUUCAGUUAUCAAAUUGCCUUUGUCUAACUAAUGCUAUGAAAUCAUUGGUGAGAUAGAUAUCUAGAUAAUAUGGAAACAAAUUGAUUGAUAGAGGAGGAAAAAUCAUUUUCAGGCUUUAAUGAUUGUGGCCUGUGAAUUUUCCUGUGUCACUUUCAUGAAUAUUAAAGAAUCAAACUACCUCCUAAAAUAUCAAAAGUAUAGUCUAUUACUUAUAAAUGCAAUGUCAUUUUUAUCCAGCUUUAAAUGACAAAUUUCCUUCUAUUUUCAUUUUUUAAAUAUUAUCACAGCCCUUCAUCCAAAGUCCCAGCUUCGUUUACUGUUAUUCUUUGUUUUAGUUCCUAUUUGAAUAGUUAAAUAAUAUAUUAUUUUGUUCUUGAUUGACAUAUUUUUACAUGCAUUCUCAUUUGUAAUAUUAUCAUGGAGUGUAUUACAAACUCUGUGGUGAUCAGAAAAUACUUAGUUCUCUCUAGCUCUUAUUUCUUCAUGCUUGUUAGGUAGCAGAAGUUAGGUACUUCAUUAGGAUUAGUAAGGUAAGGCCUAGCUCUCCUUGCUUGUACUUGUCCUUGAUAUUUUUUAUGUUUAAUAAAAGGCUGCUAGACACUAUCAAGUGUUAAAUUUGCUUUAAAAAAAUAUUGUGACUUGUAGAAUUUUUAUGUAAUUUUUAAAAAAUAAAGAUUUUAUGUUCGAAUUCACACUGAACAAUAGUUUGUUUGAUCUCGUACUACGAAGUCAAACCAAACAAAUUAAAACAGAAGGAGUACUAAAAAUGAAAGAAAUCAUAGAAAAUCUUAAUACAAGAUAUAGAAAACAAGUGACUUUUUCCAAAAAAACAAAAAAACACAUGAUGUUCUUUCCACUCUCUGUAGCCCUUGUUAUCAUCAUUAUUCUCACUUUUCUUAUUCCUAAAGCCAAAAGGAAUGGAAAAUGCAUUCUACCACCAGGCCCUUUAGGGUUGCCAUUCAUUGGAAAUUUGCAUCAAUAUGAUAGUUUAAUCCCUCAUCUCUACUUUUGGAAACUUUCCAGAAAAUAUGGAAAAAUAUUCUCAUUGAAACUUGGUUCUUCUACUAUGGUUGUAGUUUCUUCAGCAAAUCUAGCAAAAGAGGUAACACAAAUACAAGAUUUAGCAUUUUGUAGUCGACCUUCACUUCUUGGCCAGCAAAAAUUGUCUUACAAUGGUCAAGAUAUUGGCUUGUCGCCUUACAAUGACUAUUGGAGAGAACUUCGAAAAAUAUGUGUUGUUCAUUUAUUUAGUCUCAAGAAAGUGCAAUAUUUUAGUCCAAUUCGUGAAGAUGAAGUAUCAAGAAUGAUCAAGAAAAUAUCCCAGCAAGCCGCCACUUCACAAAUUACAAAUUUGAGCAAUAUAGUGAUUUCACUUACAACUACAAUUAUUUGUAGAAUUGCUUUUGGUGUUAGGUAUGAUGAAGAAACACCCGAAGGGAGGAAAUUUAAUGUACUUUUAAAAGUGACGGAGGAAAUGUUGGCAGGCUUUUUUGUCUCUGAUUAUUUUCCCCUCUUAGGAUGGAUUGAUAAACUCUCCGGAAAAAUAAAUAAACUUGAGAAGAAUUUUAAGGAUUUGGAUGAGUUUUAUGAAGGACUCAUUGAGCAACAUCUCAAUCCCGAUAUGCCAAAAUCAAUGGAAGGAGAUAUUAUUGAUCUUUUUCUUCGAUUGAAGAAAGAAAAAUCAACUCCAAUCGAUCUUACUUUGGAAAACAUAAAGGCUAUUAUCAUGGUAAUGACUAAUGAACUAUUCUCUUUAUGUCUAUUUUAUAUAUUUGCUCUAGCCGACUGCUUACACCUAGCUAAACAGUUAACCUUACGAAUGAAUUAAGAAAUUGAAGUGAAAAUUCAUAUCAAUUAAUCAUUAGUUAGAUGUUGAAAGUUGUAUAUAGCCAAGUCUUUUGUAUUGUUAUAUAUAUAUUUAUUGACUUGGUAUUAACACUCUGUCAUACAACUAAGUUUUUUCCUUAGUCAUGUUUGUGACACAAUCAUAAUAUAAAGAAACUUUGUUGGUCAAAUAUCAAGAAGUGCCUUUUUAAACUUGUAAUAUUACACAUGUUAUAACAUUUUCUGAUAUGAUUAGGAAAAAAUUUCAAUUGAUAUGAAAUGUUGCAUUUAAUUUUAUCCUCACACUUCCUCCUGUAGAAUAUGCUAGUUGGUGGAACGGACACGAGCGCAGCUGCAGUAGUUUGGGCAAUGACAGCUUUGAUAUCUAAACCAAAUGCCAUGAAGAAAGUUCAAGCUGAAAUUCGAGAAAUGGUUGGUAAAAAAGUCCGUAGUGAAUGAAGAAGACAUCCAAAAUCUUCCAUAUUUUAAAGCAGUGAUAAAAGAAACAUUUAGAUUGUAUCCACCAGCUCCAUUGUUAAUAGCAAGAGAGACGAUGCAAAAUUCCAUACUAGAAGGAUAUGAAAUUAAACCAAAAACUAUAGUUCAUGUUAAUGUUUUGGGCUAUUGCAAGGGAUCCUGAAAUAUGGGAAAAUCCAGAAGAAUUUAUACCUGAGAGGUUUCUGAAUAGUGAUAUUGAUAUUAAGGGCCAAAAUUUUGAGCUGAUUCCAUUUGGAGCAGGCAGAAGAGGGUGCCCGGCAAUGGCACUCGGUGUGGCAACUGUGGAACUUGUACUUUCCAAUCUUCUUUACGCUUUUGAUUGGGAGUUGCCUUGUGGAAUGAAAAAAGAAGACAUUGACACUGAUGUUUUGCCUGGACUUACAAUGCAUAAGAAAGAACCUUUAUGCCUUGUUCCUAGAAAUUAUCACUAGAAAUUAAACAAGACCAAACUCCAAUGUUUAAAUUAGAUAUCCAUGUUUAAUAAUAUGGUCGUAUGGUUUUAUGUCUGUCAUUUUUCGUUAUAAACUUGUAAUGGAGUUGUUGUUUCAAUAAAAUCUCCCUUCUAGUUUCAAAGGAUGUCGCGGAAAUUUGGUAGUUAAUUUACUAAUUCUCUAGGAAUUAAAUUAACAUGGGGAUUCUCGAUUCCUGUCCAGUGCAAUAGUAAUAAUGAAAUCUAUAACCUCUAUUGUUGCAAUCAAAUGUAUAUUAUAAACUCUAUUGUUGCAACACCAAGUGCAAUACGUGCAAAAACCAGUGUCUCUUUUUGCCAAAAAGCAUACCUACCGAUCCAACUUGUGUUAUCCCUUAUAAAGUUUUUUACUUUACUUUUGUUAGGACCGAAAUAAUUAAGUGUCAUGCAUAAGCUACCAAAGCAAACCUCGAAACACCAUGAGUAAGAAUAUAAACUAGAAAUAUACCAAAAGACACAAAUCUUUAACAUGGUUCGAUGAAUCGACUUAUGUCCAAAGAGGAGAUGAGGAAUCUACUAUAUAAAUAUGAGAGUACAAAAUUUAAAGAGAAAUAACCUCACUCAUUCACGCGUAAUAUAAAGAGGUUCAUACAAGUGAUAACGUAUCACUUAUGUCCCACAAAUUCUCCCCCUAGACAAUACUUUCAAAGGCUUUAGGACUAUAUUAUGAAUGCUAUUGUGUUAGGAUGAAUGUUCCUGUAUUUAUAGUCAUAAAUUUUUUCCUACAAGAAAAGGACUAGCCAAAUAUGAAGACUUUGUGUUUUCCUUUUAAGAAAAGGAAAAUCCAUUUAUGAUAAGAAAUUCACAGCAGUUAAUACCUGACAACUCUCUUAUUUCGAUACAAAAUUUAAUUUAGAAUUCUUUUUUCUAGACAAUGAAUGAAUACAAAAAUUUUAGACGUAAAUUAAAGCUUUGAAAUUCCGUUAUCAAAUUCCUUUGUCUAAUUCUAUGUAAUUAUAAUUAUAGGUGAGACAUUUAUCUAGACAAUGUGGAAAAAUUUGAUAAAGGACAAACAAUCAUUUUUUCAAGCUUUAAAUAUUGUGGCCUGUGAACUUUCCUGUGUAACUUUCAUGAAAAUCACCAUACAAAAAAGAAAAAACAAAGUUUAGAAUUUUAAACUAAAUGAUCAUACUAUUAAAUUAGGAUCAAACUACUUCCCAAAAUAUCAGAAGUGUGUAGUUGAUGGUUAUCCCUUUCUAUCACUUAUAAAUAAAUGCAAUCUCUUUUUCUACCUUUAAAUUACAAAUUUCUUUCUAUUUGUCUAUUUCCUAAAUAAGUAUUUUCAUCAUGAUUUAAAUUAUUAUCAUAUCCAUUGAUCCAAAGUUCCACCUUCUUUUACUGUUACUUAUAGUAUUUUUAUGUAAAAUUUAUUUCAAAAUAAUUAUAGAUAAAAAAUUAUUUCUUUCGUCCUCUAAAUCAAGCGAGGGAGUACUAUAAAUGAAAGAAAUUGUGGAAAAUCUUAAUACAAGAUAUAGAAGACUUUUCCAAAAAACACAUGAUAUUAUUUCCACUCUUUGUAGCCCUUGUUAUCAUCAUUAUUCUCAGUUUCCUUCUUCCUAAAGCCAAAAGGAGUGGAAAAAACAUUCUACCACCAGGUCCUUUAGGGUUGCCAUUCAUUGGAAAUUUGCAUCAAUAUGAUAGUUUAACCCCUCAUCUCUACUUUUGGAAACUUUCCCAAAAAUAUGGGAAAAUCUUCUCAUUGAAACUUUGUUCUUCUACUAUGAUUGUAGUUUAUUCAGCAAAUCUAGCAAAAGAAGUAAUGAAGACACAAAAUUUAGCUUUUUGUAGUCGGCCUUCACUUCUUGGCCAACAAAAGUUGUCUUACAAUGGUCAAGUUAUUGCUAUGUCGCCUAACAAUGACUAUUGGAAAGAAAUUAGAAAAAAUAUGUGUUGCUCAUUUAUGUUGUCUCAAGAAAGUGCAAUAUUUUCGUCCAAUUCCUGAAGAUGAAGUAGCAAGAAUGAUCAAAAAAUUAUCUGUACAAGCUGCCACUUCACAAAUUACAAAUUUGAGCAAUAUAAUGAGUUCACUAACAACUACAAUUAUUUGUAGAGUUGCUUUUGGUAUUAGGUAUGAUGGAGAAACACGCGAAGGGAGGAAAUUUGGUGAACUUUUAAAAGUGGCUCAAGAAAUGUUGGCAGACUUUUUUGUCUCUGAUUAUUUUCCUCUCUUAGGAUGGAUUGAUAAACUCUCCGGAAAAAUAAAUAAACUUGAGAAGAAUUUUAAGGAUUUUGAUGAGUUUAAUGAAGGACUCAUUGAGCAACAUCUCAAUCCCAAUAGGCCAUAAUCCAUGGAAGGAGAUAUUAUUGAUCUUCUGCUCCAAUUAAAGAAAGAAAAAUCAACUCCAAUCGAUCUUACUUUGGACAACAUAAAGGCUAUUAUCAUGGUAAUUAUUUAACUACUCUAUGUGUCAAUUUUAUAUAUUUUCUCUUUUCGGCUGCUCACACCUAGCUAUAUAGUUAAUUUUUCCAAUGAAUUAACAAGUUGAAGUGAAAAUCUUAUCAAUUAAUCCUGGUUAGAUGUUAAAAAUUGUAUAUAAGGAAGUCUUGUGUAUUGUUAUAUUUAUUGACUUGGAAUUACUACUCUGUCAUACAACUAAGAUUGUACUUUCUUGAGACUAAAUAAAUGAAGUAAGCAAAGUUUUCUAAUUUCUCUCCAAUAGUCAUUGGUGAAAACACUAUGUCAUGACUAUUGUAAGACAAUUUUUGUUGGCAAAGAGUAGAGGGUCUACUACAAAAUGCUAAAUCUUGUGUCUUCAUUACUUCUUUUGCUAAUUUUGCUGAAAAAAUUACAACUACUGGAGUAGAACCAAAUUUCAAUAAGAAUAUUUUUCCAUAUUUUUUAGUAAGUUUCCAAAAAUAGAUAUGAGGAGUUACACUAUCAUAUUGAUGCAAAUUUCCAAUGAUUGGCAAAUCUAAAGGACCUGGUGGUAGAUUGGUAUUUCUACUUAUUUUGGUUUUGUGAAGAAGAAAAUGAGAAUAAUAGGAAAAGCUACUAAAAAUAUAAAGAACAUCAUGGUUUUGUUGUGUCACUGCCAAAUGCAACGUCAAAUGUAACCUAUAAAUAGAUCUCCUAUUGAGUUGCUUUUAUACACAUUUUUUUGUUCAAUUGAAUGUAGUGAUAUUUGAGAAUGACAUCACAAUUUAAUCUUAAAGAUGUUUAAGUAUGCAAUGACAUAUCUCAACAAGCUACAACUUCACAAGUCACCAACUUGAGCACUAUGUUAUAUUCACUAACAAGUACUAUUAUUUGUCGAGUUGCUUUUGGUAUUAGGUAUGAUGAAGAAGCACAUGAAAGGAGGAGAUUUGAUGAACUUUUAAUUGAGACUCAAGCAAUGAUGGCUAGCUUCUUUGUUUCUAAUUUUUUUUCCUUCUUUAAGUUGGAUUGAUAAACUUACUGGAUUGACAGAUAGACUUGAAAAUAAUUUCAAGAACUUGGAUAAUUUUUAUGAAGAACUCAUUGAGCAACAUCUUAAUCCCAAGAGGCCAAAAUCCAUGGAAGGAGACAUUGUUGACACCUAAUUUUGAUCCUCCCCGAUAAGAUUAAUUUUCGAGCUUCUUAAUUUUCAAUGAUUUGGAAUAAUUAGUUUUACAAAACUCAAAAAGGUAAAUAAAUUAUUUUCUAAAGUUUUAAAGCAAUUUUAGUCAUUUUUAUAAUUUUUAAAACAAUAUAAUAUUUUUAUAUAACUUUUGUAUGUAAUUGUUACAUUUCUUACGAGCAUUCAAAAAUCAAAAAAAAAAGAAGAAGAAGAAGGGGGCUUUACCUGUUUAAAAUGUUUUGAUAAUUAUCUCACUUAAUAUUAGUUAAUAUUCCCGAAUUAGUUAUUUUUAUCUCACUAAGAUUAAGAAGCCCGUCAAUUAAUUAAUUUGAUUCAUCGUGUUUAAAUUCUAGCCGGAUACACUAAAUUAACUCAAUUAGGCUAUGUUUUGAAUUUUAUAUGGCCAUAAUUGCAAUCCAUUUAGUCAUUUUAUAUUACAAUUCUAGCCAAUUUUAACCUCACCUUAAUUCAAUUUUUCGACCAAAAUUGGGUCAGUCGACCUAUCAGCCCAUUCCAUUUUUUUCAGCCCACUUAAUUUCCUAUUCUAAUUCCAACCAACCCAGCCCCUUUUAAUUCCAAAUAAUACCAAAAACAAAUGACCCAGACCCGUAUUUUUCUUCUCCCAGAACACCAACCAGCGCUGCAAACCAGAAACGACACCCAGAGACCCUUGUACGCGCCUCACGCGAGAACACGCAACAGCGAGUUCACAGAAGCCACAGCGACGUCUUCACGGCAGCAACGGCGAUAGACGGAAAGCAAAAUCCCAACGUCUUCUUCCUCAGGCUGGUACGAUCUUGUACAGCUUUUCCGCGAUUUUAGCUGCUGCUUCGUCCUUGGGGCUGUGGGAUGGAGCCACGUUGCGCCCAAGGACGGGUGAAUCAAUCCGGAGCGUCGAUUCGCCCUUUCCCCUUUCGGAAUUGGGCAAAAUUGCAAAGAAAAGAUGUUUACCCCGAAUGGUGAAAGUUUUGGAGUUCAAAUUUCGAAAUGGUCCCUUGCCCUAUGGGGGAUUUCAGCGAUUUUCCCCCCAUUUUCCAAAAGGGAAUUUCCCUUCUAUAUAGGUUGCAUUAUUCACUGUUGGGGGGAAGGAAAAAAAGAGAGUUGGAGAUUUCUCUGGAGAAAAAAUAUUGAGAGGUCUCCCAUUAGAAACGAGAUUACAGUAGACUUGCUAGCCAUACAAUUAUGUAUAAAAUACUUAAGGUUAGGUCUUGAAACAAAAGUGUGAGAGUUCAGAUUUUGUUUGUUCUUCUUGCUCGUGUUUUGUUCACGGAAGUUUAUCGGAGUAGUCGCUUGUGGUGUGGGUGGUAAAGCUUUGCUUAGCUCGUUUCGUCCGGAUCGCUGCCCCCGAAAAGGUAAUCUCUUCUCGACCUUAACCCGUUUAUUGGACGUUCUGUUUUAUGAACUGAAACUCUCUGUGGUUUCUUUUUCCUCCUGGUUUGAAUGACUCUUUUUUUUUUUUUUUUCUUUUUUCUUAGUUUACUUUAGCGUUUAAUGUUUGAUCGGUUGAGCUUGAAUCAGUGUUAGUUAGUUGAGGCGCAUAAUGUGUUUGUGUGCAUGGUUUAUGUCUGGAAUAUCUUUGGUUGAGAAUUUGGUGUCUCCCUUUGGCUGUUGUGCUCAGUGGUUAGUACAUAUAAUUUCUCUCUGCAAGUUUGAAGAAAGUUUUAACUUGAUUAAGAUUUGUUCUUUAUUUUCUCUUUUAUUUUGACUAACCUUUAAGGCUUCGAAUGGAUUAAAGGAUCUAUUGGUUCUAGCGUUAUUUGUUACUUUCAUAUUUGUCAUAGUCUAUUUCGGCAUCAAGUCCUUGCUUUGGUCUGUUAAGAUCGUUUUUUUUUUAUUUUCAAAAGUAGGAGCAGAACCUUAAGCUGGUUAGUGUGGAGUUUAUAUGUUGUCUUAUCUAUGAAUCGUUUGGUGCAUUAGCUUACUCUCUUCGUUUUCAAGUUAUUUGAUCCUUCAACUGUUUAGCAAGGCAUAUUUAAAUAGAGUUAUGUCUCCAUAUCUAUCGCAAUGUUUGCCACUUGAGGCCUAAAUGUAAGCUUCCUUAGCAUGCUUCUCUUAUAUUUGUCUUGUUUCUAUUUUUAUGAGGGCUGUUUUAGUUUUUCUCAAACAUAUCUCAUCCCGUUCUAAAAAUAUUAAGAUCAUGUUGCUAGACUUGAAACUAGCUUAUGUUGGUUGGUAUGGUGUUUCAAAUACUAAUUCGAUGAGAAUGGGGUCUAUUCAUGUGAUGUGUAGAAUUUCUUUAUCUUAGCUAAUUUAAAUGGUUGAGGGUUUAUUUCACUUCGUCGGUUUGGUUACUCCUAUCCCAAAGUUUGAGUUAGUCUAGUAUAAUUUUACUCGGCUCAUUCUCUAGUGAUGCUUGGUCAAUUAUUUGGUCAUUUGCUUUAUUUGAUGUUAAUUAAGACCCAUUUACUUUUUUUUUAAUUGUUUUGGUCCAAGAUCUCGGUUCAUCUUCCCAUGUGUUAUGGCAGCGUUUUCCUAGUCUAUUUUUCUAAUAUUAUUUGAGAGCAUACAUAAGUUUAUAUUGAAUUAAAUGGAAAAUAAAGGCAUGAUGGAUUUUUCCUAAAAAAAAAGAAAAAGAAAAAGAGUUAAUUAACUUUAUUAUUAUUUUAAGGGUGAAUUUUAAUACAAUUUAUGUGUUCUUGCUGUUAUCUAGGAGUAUGACAGAUUUUCUUUUAUAUAUACAUAUAUUCGUUAUUCAUGUGUAUUGUUACUAGUCAUCAUAUUAAUUUAUUGUUUGAAAUAAUCAGUGUGGUCUAUUAAUUGUUGAAAAAAUAGUGAUUUAAAUAAUCGUCACUUUGUCUUUAGCAUGAUGGAUCUUCAUUGUCUUUGGAGUUGGUAUCUUUCCAUCUAGAUCUAUGUCAUUUCAACUUGAUAGAGUUAUUUGCUAUAUUUUGUUUAAGGGUGACUAUGAUUUGUUUUGAAUGCAUUAUAUUUCUGUUAUGGUUUAUUAAUCCUUAUCUUCUUAUUUUUUGUUGCAUGUAAAAUAUGCCCGAGUUCUUCAUGAACUCCUAUCCCAUUCCUUUGCAUUUGGAGAGAGCCACCAAGGCUGAAACCCUUCCUCUCGAGUCGGCCAACCUAUUAAGAAUUGACGAACAGGUCCCGAAAGAAUAUGCAACAGAUUGGAGAGUCGAAAAUUUGGACCAAAGGCCCACUCCUUAUUUCAAAAAUUGUAUUUUAUUAUUUUGGGCCUAAGCCCUUGUCAUUUUAUUCAUUAUUAUCUUGUUAGAAGUUUAGGAUAGGUAUAUGUGACUCAAAUGGGCCAAAGGCCCCAAAAUGAAAAUGGGCCCAAGUAUUGGUCCAGGCGGACAGAAAAAAAUCAAGCUUGUGCCCGAGCCUCUUUCCCUCUUUAUUUUAUUGUAUUUGCGUGUUUGUUAAUAUUUGCCGCUAAUCUUAAGAUCGAAAAAUUCAAAUCCCCGGAAGACGCCCAUUUUGAUUUAACAAUUUAACUAAAUUAGUCAUCUCUUACUUGACUUAAAAAUAAAUAAAUAAGUUUACAAAAUACUUCAUUUAGAUAAUAUUUAAAUAUUUCCCUUUUUUCCCUUUAAAAUGGUUCUAAAUAUAAAAAUUGCUCAAAUCAAAUUAAGUUAAAUUAUUUUAGCCAAAUAAAUUAAUUGUAGGAUAAUUGCAUUAGUGGAUAUUUUAGGUGCUUUAAAAACCUUUCUAGAAUAUUAAUAGGAACUUCGAACCCCUAUUUAAAUAUUUUCAAUCGAUUUCCUGUUUUUAUCGUUUGAAAAAAUCAGUUUUCUUAAUUUUUCUUAUAAAUUAAGUGGCAACUCUAAAAUCACUCAAAAUAAUAUUUUCCUAAUAAAACAGACAUUCUUGAUCUUUUGCUUCAAUUGAAGAAAGAGAAAUCAACUCCAAUUGAUCUCACUUUGGAGGAUGCAAAAGCACUUGCCAUGGUAAUCUUGUAUAUUUAUGUUAGUACAUGUACUUUGAGUCUUUUUUUUGGUUUCCCACUUGGUGUUCGGAGCCCACAUUGGAGCCUCAACUAUAUCCGGAUCACGCACUACAAGGCUCAUUCGGGGUGGUACUCCCAACAUGAUUUUCUCCAUACCUGUUGAGACUUUCUCAUGAAUUGACAAUUCAUGUCUUUUUUGUGUGUCAAUUUCUUUGUAGGACGUGUUAGUAGCAGGAUCAGACACAAGGGCGGCUGUAAUAGUAUGGGCGAUGACAGCCUUAAUGAGGAAUCCAAGAGCCAUGAAGAAAGUUCAAGCGGAAAUUAGACAAUCAAUUGGAAAAAAAGGCAUUGUAAAUGAAGAUGACAUCCAAAACAUGUCUUAUCUUAAAGCAGUAAUAAAGGAGACAUUACGAUUAUAUCCAUCAGCUCCACUCCUACUACCAAGAGAAUCAAUGAAAAAGUCUAGACUAGAAGAAUAUGAAAUUGAGUCAGGAACCACAAUUUAUGUUAACUUUUGGGCAAUUGCAAGAGAUCCCGAGAUAUGGGAGAAUUCAAAUGAGUAUUCCUGAGAGAUUCCUGAAUAGCGAUAUUGAUUUUAAAGGACAAAACUUUGAGUUAAUUCCAUUUGGAGCUGGACGAAGAGGAUGCCCAACUAUUACACUUGGGGUUGCCACAGUGGAACUUGCAUUGUCAAAUCUUCUUUAUGCAUUUGAUUGGAAGUUGCCUUGGAGCAUGAGAAAAGAGGACAUUGAUACAACUGUUAGGCCAGGAAUUGUAAUGCAUAAGAAGAUAGAUCUUUGCCUUAUACCUACAAAUUAUCUAUAGAUUAUAUUCAAAUACGGAUAUAAGGCGAGUUUUGUGAUAUCAAUUUAAAUCAUGUAAAAAAUAAAUUAUUCUCAAGCUAAACAUAUUUAGAAUACAUACAUGUAAUAAGUUAUUCUCAUGCUAAACUUAUCGACCGACUCUAAGUUAUGAAUUUGUCUUUCUCACUCCACCUAGUUCUUGAAGGAACACCUUUAUAUUACGUAAAUAAAUAAAUAUAUGCUACUGGUAGUAAUUGCUGCAUUUUCGCUACUAAAAAAGUUACUAUUUUAUCAUUGAAAUUUUCUACUGAAAAAUAUUUAAUGACUAUUUUCAUAAAUAUUUUUAUUGAGUCAUGAGAAAAGAAAAAAAUAGUAGUAGUAUUUUAACACGGAAUUAUUAGGAAGCUUCUCAAUAUUUCAACAUGAUUCUAUUUUCCACAGUGCGUUUUAAUUUUAGUAUGCUGGUUCGAUGAAAAUAUAUAUCAUAUUUUAUGACAUAAAAUUAAUUGAAAAGGAAGAAGCAACAAAUGAGAAGAUGGUAAAGCUAAAACUAUACUGUAAACGUGAAAAUUAAUUCAAAAUUGGAAAAGACAAUUACGUACCUUAGUCCUUAGUACUUUUUUUUAAAAAAAAAAUUCCCAGUGACUAUCUGAGUGUGUUAUACGUACCUUAGUAGUUGUAAGAUUUGGAAGGGAGAAAACAUUCUCAAUAAUAUUUUUAUUCUUACUUCAUAUUAUAUCUCAUAUAAAAUUAUAGAAGUUUAAUUUAACUUAAUAAGGUAUUUUUGAUAAACAAAAUAAAAAUGGCAAUCAGAUGCGUGUUUAAAAGUUCUAUUUAUAUUAAUUUAAACCAUCCAAAUGACCUGUUAAUUUGUGAAACACAUCUUCACAAAUGACCCUCAAAGAAUGGAUAAAUAUCUUAUGAGGAAAGAAUCAAAGGAAGGACAGAAUUGUACUCACAAUCUUGAUCAAUAAAAUUAGUUUCUUCAUACUUUAUUUGUGAUUGCAAUUUAUUUUCUAUCACUUUAAAUUCUUUUGCAAAUAAAUUGGCACGCCCAGUGGGACCAAAUCUGCUUUUCAUCUCUUCUCUCACAAAUCAAAUCUGCAAAUCUGAAGUCACAAAACCGCAAAGGUAGAAGAAUGGGUACUUCAAGUUUCGAGUUUCAUCAAGUCUACACUCCGACAAACCUUGAAGCAUGGACAUUUGUAGACAUUUAAAUUUUGUAGAACUCUACAAGAUGUGUUCAAUUCAAGUAGAUAUUCUACAAAGUGUGUUCAAUUUCAAUUAGGAUUCUUGGAGGCUAUUUAACCCUAAACCUUAUUUCAUGCCUAUAUAAAGGGCACUAUAUUCCCUUUAAAAGACAUCUCGAAUAUUCUGCAAAUUCAUGGAAUAUUCAUGAAGAGAUCAAAUCCAAAUCAUUCUAAUUUGGGAUAUACUCCACUAAUGACCCUCGAAUCAUGGAUAAAUCUUAGGAGAGUAGAACAGAAUUGUACCCGCACCAUUUAUUAAUAAAUAUUCAUGUUUCUUCAUAGUGGUUGAUUUAUUUUUCUAUCACGGUAAAAUUUGUUGCAAACAACAUUGUCUAGCAACACGAUGUAUUUAUAAUCAUAAAUCCUUUAAAAAUUAUAAAUUUAAAUUUACUAUUAUAAUUUUAGUGAAUUUUUACCUAUGAAGAUAUGCCUCGUAAAAAAUAUAUCUGGAUUCAGAUGAAUCCUUUGGUAAAUUGAGCUACUAAUUAUCCUCAUGUGCUAUAAAACUCAUUUUCAUGACUUACAUACCAGGUAGGAAUCAGUUUACAUCAAUGUAAUUAAGUACCUUAAUUUUUAAAAUUAUUUUUGGAGAUUUCUUGUUGCAAUUGAAGAACUUUAAGUGGUUUUCAGAGGUUGGAUUGAGAAAUUAACAAGUUGCAUGUGUAAAAUAUGAUUAAUUGAUAGGUGGGGGUGGAUCUAGCGAGUAGAGUGUCAUUUAUGAAUUUAGGUGAAUUUAAUUUGAUAUCAUUAAAAUAUAAAUUCAUAAAUUUUGAAUUUUGAAUUCACCUUAAUAAUAAUGAAAUAAUACAAGAAGGCAAAAUAUGAGAAGUAUUAAAUUUGCAUAAAUUAAAGUGUUUGAAUUCUGGCAUUAAGAUAGCUCGUAUCUAAUGUAAAAUAGCAAAAAAAAUCAUAGGAGAAUUAAGGACAUAAACCAUACUUCUCAACUAUUCUCAUUAAUGGUCGACUAAAUAAGUCUAUUAUCUUUCUAAAAUGGUAGCAGAGGCAGAUCUAGAUCAUUAGCUACAGAUUUGAUGACGGGUAACUGUACAAAUCCAAUGUCCUUUUUUCUCUUUAAAUUACCAUUUUCUUUAUAUUUAUAUGAUUUUUCUUUUAAUAAUAUUAUCGCAGUUGUUGAUCCAAACCCCCAACUCCUUUUAGGGUGUGUUUAGUAUGGAAAAAAAUGAAUAAUGUUUUUUAAUAUUUUCAUAUUCAGUUAAUCAAAAAAUUUGAAUAAUAUUUUCUCUAAAAUAUAAGUUUUUUUAAAAAGAGGAAAAUAACUUUCUUAGUGAAAGUAGGAAGAACAUAUUUCACAAGUGAAAUUCCACAGUGAUUGUGUCAUCUGCCACCCUCAACACACCUCAUCACCCCACACCGGUACUCCCUUCACCUCCACCUCUCAUAUUAUUUGUCAAAAUUAUAUACAAAACUCCAAAAACAGUUUUCAACAAUGCAUUUACCAUAAAAAAAUAUUUUCCUUUGUACCAAACACACCCUUACUUUUUAAUUAUAAAUAAAAGAAAUAAUAGAAAAUUACAAGACAUUUCAAGUGACUUUGCCAUAAAGAAACAAAUGUUGUUUCCACUCUUUUUAGCCCUUGUUAUCUUCAUUAUUCUCAGUUUCCUUCUUGCUAAAGCCAAAAGGAAUGGAAAAAACAUUCUACCACCAGGUCCUUUAGGGUUGCCAUUUAUUGGAAAUCUGCAUCAAUUUGAUGAUUUUGCAUCAAUUUGACGGUUUAACCCCUCAUCUCUAUUUUUGGAAACUUUCCAAGAAAUAUGGGAAAAUAUUUUCAUUGAAAUUUGGUUCUACUCCAGUAGUUGUAAUUUCUUCAGCAAAAUUAGCAAAAGAAGUAAUGAAAACACAAGAUUUAGCAUUUUGUAGUAGAACUUCUACUCUCUGCCAGCAAAAAUAUUCUUACAAUGCUCAAGAUAUUGCCGCGUCACCUUACAAUGACAAUUGGAAAGAACUUCGAAAAAUAUGUGUUGGUCAUUUAUUUAGUCCAAAAAAAGUACAAUCUUUUAUCCCAAUUCGUGAAGAUGAAGUAUCAAGAAUGAUCAAGGAAAUAUCUCAACAAGAUGUCACUUCCCGAAUUACCAAUUUGAGUAGUAUAUUGAUUUCACUAACGACUACUAUUAUUUGUAGAGUUGCUUUUGGUAUUAGGUAUGAUGAAGAAACACACGAAAGGAGGAAUUUUAAUGAACUUUUAAAAGUGACCGAAGAAAUGUUGGUAAGCUUUUUUGUCUCUGAUUUUUUUCCUCUCUUAGGAUGGAUCGAUAAUCUCUCCGAAAAAAUAAAUAUACUCGAGAAGAAUUUUAAGGAUCUGGAUGAAUUUUAUGAAGGACUCAUUGAGCAGCAUCUUAGUCCCAAUAGGCCAAAAUCCAUGGAAGAAGGAGAUAUUAUUGAUCUUUUACUCCAAUUGAAGAAAGAGAAGUCAACUCCAAGCGAUCUUACUUUGGACAACAUAAAGGCUAUCAUUAUGGUAAUGAACUACUCCAUUUUAUAUAUGGUGGUGCUGGUAAAUACUUGCAUGUCAGUUGCUUACACCUACCUAAACAAUUAAUCUUUCAUUGGCUUGGUGUUAAUGCUCGAUCAUGUGGCUAAGUAUUUUUCAUGGUCACGAAUACGAUCAUAAUAUAAAGAAAGAUUUUUGUCAAAUAUUAAAAAGGUGAUUUUAAGUUUGUGGCAUUACACGUGUUAUAGCAUUUUAUGAUAGCUUGAUUAGAAAAAUAUUUGAAUAAAGAUUGUUGACACCCAAUUUUGGACCUCCACAAUAUAUAUUAAUCAUCGAGUUUCUUAAAUUCCAAACGAUUUGAAAUAAUUGACUUUGUAAAGUUCAAAAUAUUUUUUCGAGUUACUUUUAAUUAAUUUCAUCAUUUUUAUGUAAUAUGUAUGUUUUAUAUAAUUUUGUGUAUAAUUAGAGUAUAUUUUAUAAACAUUUCGAAAAUCAUCUCAAGAAGAUUUUGAUUUUUUAGUAAGUAUUUUAUUAAAUUAGUUCAGUAUAAAUUAUAGUUAUAAUCUUUGAGUUAUUUAAAUUAGUUUACAAUUAAGUUAAUUAUUUUUAUUUCGUUAAGAUUAAGAAGCUCCUUAAUUAAUUCAUAUUAAUUUGUCUUGAUUAAAUGUUGACCAAAUCCACCGAUUAAUCUCAAUUUGGUUACAUUGUGUAAUUAAUUUGAGCUAUUGUUUUUUUACGUUUCCUUAGCCAAAUCCUCAAUUCAUUCAACUCAUUAAAAUACCAAAUUGUGGGCUAUAUUCCACUUUUCUGCACAACCCACUCCUAUUCCUUUCACCCUUCAGCAGCCCAUUAAAACACAACAACAUAUAUCAACCCAUUAAUGCCUUCAAUUCCCAACCCAACAAAAUUAACAACAACAACGUACAACAACCGACCAACAGCCCAUUACCCUCAACCCGGCCCAAAUGCACUUCUUCCCUUCACAAAGAGACCCGACCCCUGCACAACUCUUUCUUCUACGCAAACCCAGCAGCUCACGUGAACCAGACAGCAGCAGUGUGCAUUUUUCUUCUGCCUCACGCGUCAAUAUCCAACAACUCCCACAACUUUCUCUGCAACAGCCGCCCAACUUGAUCUUUCCAUCCGGAUUUUGGGGGAUUUCGAUUGAAAAUCUGGCGCAAGCAGCAGUCCGUUGGUCUUUGGGGAAAGGAAUUUUGAAUUGAAGAUUGGAUAGGAAUUUCCUUUUUGGCCCUUGCCCUCGUCCAAUUUUCAUCCCCUAAAUCGCCCCAACUUCCCCUAUAAAUAAUCCUUGACAUUCAAGUGAGAGGGGUUUUUUUUUUAUUUGGAUUUUGACAUGUUUUAGAGCUUGGUUCUUUGACAUUACUGAUUUUACAUUCAAGAAUUUUUAAAACGAUUUUCUAAUUCUAAGUUCUAAGAAAGGUUUCGUCUGAAGUUACUUUGAAAUUCUUAGUUUGCUACUCGAAUCGAAGUUGUGCGAGAAGUCCUCUUUCUAGUCGUCCCAGUAUCGCUGCUCCAAGAAAGGUAAUUUUUUUUUUGUGUGUUUAUCCCAAAGUUUGCUGUCUGUUUCAUCUAUAUAUAUAUAUAUAUUUACUUAUUUUUUGGUUUGUAUUGGUGAUAUAUUCUCUGAUUUGGUGUUAUGAAGCUAUGGAAAAAUGUCCAAACCAUGAAGUAAUUUAGAGUCUUUAUUCUCUGUGGAUUAUGAUCUUAACCUUGUUAAGAGUUGAUCUUUUGCUAGGUAGUUUAAGGAAGAUUAAAGCGAUGUUAGUUCGUUCCCCAUCACUUUGAUUUCGACGAGAUGAAAUAAAAUAUAGUGACAGCAUGCUUUUCCUUUCAGUAAUUUCUUUGUUUUAUUUGGUUUGCGUUUCUAGUCGUUUGCAAUCUUACAUUCUAGUUUUGUGAGAUCAGCUAGCUUCUAGUAAUUUGUAGAUAUCGUAAUACCUAAAUUUUAGUAUGCUUCAAUAAUAUGAAUAUAUAGUUGCUGUAAUUCGUUGUCUUUUCCCGUGCAUAUUCGAUCCUUUUUCUAGGUUAAAUAUUUUCUCUCCAUUAAAGAGAUUAUGAAAACAUGCGUGUACAUUAGUGGCAUAGGACCGAUUUGGAUUCUUAAAACCUCUUCUUCUAUGCCCAGAUUAGUCCUUAAAUGCUCGUCUCUUCGAUCGUCAUGUUUAGAUUAGCUAAAUUGUGUUGAUUUUCCAGACCUUCUUUGUGCUAAUCUACUCGUAUUCAGUUUUAAAGCGUUGUACUGUCACCUCUAUGUUACCUCACAUGUUUCUUAACGCGUCUACGCCAGCCCUUUUCUGCAAUUUUACUGGCACUUCAUAGUUAAUAUAAUUAUUUGGUUCUAACAAUAUUUUGUUUGAGUCCACUGUAUGAUCCUCUUUUUGAAGCUUCUAUUUUUCUUUUAUUUAUUUAUUUUAUUUAUUUAUUUUUUUUAGAAAGGAUAGUAUGCAUAGAAAUUUAUGGAAGCCUUCUUGCUUGUUUCUUUUAUACCAUUUUGAGAUAAUGGUAUAGUAGUAAAAUUUUCUUUUACCUAUCGUAUGAGUCCAACAAUUACUCAUGACUAAAUAAAUAUAGCUCAUAUUUCCUUGAAGUCCUCGUUGUGUGGCAUCACUAGUUGUCGGGUGGAUUUGUAAAAUUACAUGAAAUUAGAAUAUAUCUCUUAGUAUUGUUUAAGUUUGAAAGGAUGAGUUGCGGUUUUUUGCUCCAAAUGACAACAAUGGCUCUUUGAUUAAGUCAAUUAUUUGUAUAAACAUGAUUUCCGUUUUAUUUAUUUAUUUAUUUUUAUUGUGUUAAGUGAAACCAUGCUCUUUACUUGCUAAAUGUACGUUGGAAAUUUCUAUCUUUAUAUAUUAAAACUGUCACCACAAUUUAGUUUAGUAGAUGCUAUUAUGUUAGGAUUAGGUGACCUUUUCCUAUGCUACCAGUUUGUUUGAGUUCUAUCACAAGAUAUAAUAUGAUUUGUUGCUUUAGUUGAAACACUAAGUUCAUAUGUGUGAUGUGUAUAAUGCCAAGCUUAUGUUGCCUAUAUGUUACAUUACAUGUGCAAUAUUGAAAUUAUGUCAUUCUAAGCUUGUUCAAUGUCUUGCUCAUAAUUUGGGUUGAUUAAAAAGGUAAGUUUGGAAACCAUUUUAGGAUAAGUGAUAAAUCAAUGUAUUAGUUAAAAUGAAUACAUGCAUAAGUUAGUCGAGAUGUUCUCUUUGGAAUGUGUCCGAGUUUGUUCCUCAGUAGAUUAUUUACUAUAUUUUGAAUUUUUUCUUUUAUUGAAUCUAUCUUCCAUAUCUCUAAUUUUUUAUUAUUUUUUUUCUGCCUCAUGGGAACUUAUGCGACACUACUUGAACUCCUAUCUCCUCGUUGGGCCAAAGGCCCAAUUUUACCUCUUAACGAGUCGGCCAACCUUGAGAAAUCAAAGAACAAGUCUUUGGAGUUGAUGUACAGGUCUCGGAAAGCAGAAAAAUGGGCUGUAUACAGCCGAUAUACACUGAUAUACAACCAGUGUAUACAAAAACGGGAUUGGUUUAAAGGCCAAAGUUUGUAGCGAAAUUGGCCCAAGAAGGGGCCCAAUUUCAUCAUUUUUUUUACUCUUCUAAUUGUUUGAUUAUGUUUUGGCUAAUCUUAUUUAACUCUAACUUUAAAUAACUUAAUUAGAUUCCCAAAAAGACGAGUCAUUUUCUUUGUGUUGGUUUAUUUUUAAUACAUUUCACUUGUUGUGUUCACUUAUUUUAAAUUUCAAAUAAUUGGUCGAAUUUUGUAUUUUAAUUAAGUUCAAUCUUUGUUCUUAAAAAAGAUAUGUUUUAAGGCCUCUUCACUUGAUCACAUUUUAUUUUAAAGUGGUUUUAAGUUAAAGUAUUCUUCUCAAAUGAACUAAAAAUGUUCUCUUUCUAGUUAGUCAUUUUCUCAAAAAGGUUAGUCGAAACUUUAAUUCUUCAAUUAACUUAAAAUGGCUUCAUGCUUAAAUUAACCAAUUUGGAUUAAUUUAUUAUUUUAGAAAAUGAAUCAAGUAAGUCCUAAUUAAUCUAGUUUUAAUAAAAUUCUAUGCACUUGUUUUUUAAUUCAAAUGUUUCAUUUUUAGGUCAUUUUUCUCUAAAAAAUAAAAUAAAAUAAGAAUGUGUCAUUCAUUUAACUAUUUUCCUCAAAGUUAAUCGAAUAUAUUAUAAGUUAUUAUUCUUUAUGUUAAAACAUUUUUUUUUUUAUAUAGUCAAAUAUAUUUUAGUCAAGUCGCAGGUCAACCGCAUGUUAGCGGACACUUCGAAUGCUUAAACCCUUCUCGAAGUGUAAAUUGAACCCCGAACCCUCUUUGAUAUUUUUCAAACGAUUUUUUUCUGUUUAAAUCUUUGAAAAUUAUAAGUUUUCUUAAUUUCUUUAAAAAAUUAAGUGGCGACUCUUUCUAAGUAUUUUUCUUUUAGUGUUUUAUACUUGGAACAUUUUCAAAAAGUGAUUUUUCUAGAAAUAGUCAAAUUACGACACAACAAAGAUAAAAUGAGAAAUUCAAAGUUUUCGAAUACAUGAAGAUAUAUUUGUUGUGUCGUGAUCUUACUAACCUUUAGAAAAAUCACUUUUUGAAAUGCUCUAAGUAUAAAACAAUUUGAGAAAAAUACUUAGAAAAGAGUCGCCACUUAAUUUUUUAAAGAAAUCAAGAAAACUUAUAAUUUUCAAAAGAUUUAAACAGAAAAAAAAUCAUUUGAAAAUACCAAAGAGGGUUCGGGGUUCAAUUUACACUUCGAGAAGGGUUUAAGCAUUCGAAGUGUCCGCUAACAUGCGGUUGACCUGCGAGUUGACUAAAAUGUAUUCUGACUAUUUUUAGAAAAAAUAAAAUGAUUUAGCAUAAGAAUAGUAAAUUACCAUAUUUUAUUAACUUUGAGAAAAUAAUUAAGUAAGCGAUGCAUUUGAUUUUCAUUUUUUUAUUUUUUAGAGAAAGAGAUACAAAAUGAAACAUUUGACUUGAAAAUAAGUGAUUGGAAUAUUAAUAAUACUAGAUUAAUUAGAAUUUAUUUUAUUCAUUUUUUGAAGCAAUAAUGUAAACCUAUUUAAAGCAUGAAAAUCAUUUUUUAAUUAAUUGACUAACCUUUUUGAGAAAAGACUAAGUAAGUGUGUGUAUAUAUAUAUAUAUUCAAUUAAUUGAAAAGGGUUUGAUUAACAUUUUUUAAAGUUUAUUUGAGAAAAAUUGAAAAGGGUUGAUUAACAUUUUUUUAAAGUUUAUUUGAGAAAAUACUUUAACUUACAACAAUUUUUAAAAUGAAUAAAAAUGUGAUUAAAUGAAAAGCAUUAAAGAACAUCUCUUUUUAAGAACCAAAGUUUUAACUUAAUUAAAAAUAUAAAACUUUGACUAAUAUAUUUGAUUAAUAAAAUAAAUGAACACAAAAUCAUGAAAUGUAUUAGAAUUAAACGAACACAACGAAAAUGACUCGUCUUUUUCUUUUGGGGGAUCUAAUUAAGUUAUUUAAAGUUAGAGUUAAAUAAGAUUAGUCAACACAUAAUCAAACAAUUAGAAGAGUAAACGAGAUAAUGAAAUUGGGCCCCUUUUUGGGCCAAUUUCGCUAUAUUUUUUAAACUUUAAUCUCAUUCCCGUUUUGCGUAUACACUGGAUGUAUAUCAGUGUAUAUGAGCGUAUAUAUUAGCUCUUUUCAUGUAUCUCUUGCUUCCGAACACAUGUAUUUUUGCUCCAGCCCUGUAUUCCUGCGUUUUUGACCUGUAGAUCGAUGUAUAUCGAUGUAUACAUCUUGUAUACGACCCCCUUUGGGCUUUUCGGGGCCUAUAAUUUUGGUUUCCCGUACACUUGAACAUGAUGAGGCUAACUCGAGUAGGAGGUUGGGCUGAUUAUCCCAACAUAAUGCAAGGAGGCGAGUCCAUGGAUAUACUCAAGUAUACAUACAAAGAAAGGAGUAAUGAAUUAAUAGCAACUCAAAAUCGCAUAAAAAAAUGCUUAAUUUGUAGAGACCAAUGUAUAAAUCAUAAACACAUGAGUGGAAAAAAUAAAACCAAGAGCAACAUAAGGAAAACUAUAUAAAAUAGAAUAUAAUCCACUCAACCUUAAUCAAUGAUUUGCUCAAACCACUAAAUUUAAAAGCAUAUACCUACUGGAGUAUUAUAUCGGCAAAUGCACUAAUGAUUCCAUUUUUUUUAAAAAGAAGAUAUUCACCAAACAAAACUAAACAAGGUUUUACAUCUUGACUUAAGCACCAACAUUUAAACAAGAAUCUAACAAGUAAUGCUAAUUUAGAAAAAAAACAUAUUAACCUUAGUGACUUAUCAGCAAGAAAUGGAGCAAGCAGAAUACUAUCUAUCAAUUAUAAAACAGAUACGCAAAAGCUGAAGAAAUACUAUUGUUAUAUAUGAGUUACGACAACUGUUGAGCAACAAAUAUAUUAGUAUCUAUACAAAUAGAACAUUUCUUACACCAUAUUAGACAGGGAAAUCUAAACUAAAACAUGAAAUGAUAGAUUUCUGAAGUGUUGGUAUCAAACUAGAUAUCACAAAUCGCUACAUAGAGAAUCACCCGAACUAAACAAAGAGACUUUGACUGAGUAUGAAUCAAGAGCAAAAUAUUAUCCUCUACAACUUAAUAUCGCUGGUCUAACUUCACAUCACAACAAGAAUUAACAACAACAUCCCACAGGAACAUUUUUAAAGAAAAUAAAGAACUACAACUACUACAAGGAGAGAAUAAACCGAAUAGACGAAAAUAGAUGCUGGAAAUGCAGUAAAGAGGAGCUGAUUGCAGCAUGCUCAAUAAAAAAAAAACUAGACUUAAGAAAUGGAACUUUGCGGAGAACGUAACUUUGUGAUUUUGACCAAAAGAGAAGCUAUCAUUCUAAAGCAUUCUAGCUUUUAGUAAUAUCAUUCUAGAGUGGGAAAACAAGAUACGAGAUUAGAGAAAAAUAUCCUAUAUGGGAAAGACAUCAAGACAUCACUGUAAGGUUCAAAUUCCUUCAAUUGGUAAAGUAACACCAAAACACAUCAAAGAAGAUUUGGGUAUGAAUCUAGACUAAUAAAACAAAUAGAAAUGAGCCCCCCAUUAUGUCAAAAAUUUCAACUGAAUAACUAGUUUUACAUAACUCAAAUCGUCAACAAUAUGAACAAAAAUUGUAAUGCACUCGAUCAAUACCAUUUUCCAUCAGAAUGCUCAAGCAAGAAGACACAUAACGUUGAUCAAUCACCCUUUUCGAGGGCAGCGAACUAGAGACAGCGCGAGCAGAGCUACGAUCUUCCUACCACAAAACUCAAAUACGAACAACAAGAAGAAAACUGAGCAAAAUCCCGAUUCUCAAUUCAAUGUAUUUCUAUAUUUUUAGCUAUUUUUUACUUAAGGCUACUCUCAGUGUUUUUGCUCAAAAAAUCCCCCUAUUCUUCUCAACUCUCUUUUUUCUCCCCCCUCUCUUGGUAUGUUCUUCCCCAAGCUUUUUAUAGAGGAGGUAUUAGGGUCGAAUUGGGGGGAUUUUAGAGGAUGAAAAUUGGACGAGGGCAAGGGCAGAAACGGGAAUUAUCAUCCGAUCUUCGAUUCAAAUUUUUUCCCAAAACCAAAGAACUACUGCUUGUACAAGAUUUCAACCAAAAUCCCUCAAAAUCCGGAUGACAAGAUCAAAUGGGCGACUGUUGCAGAGAAAGCUGUGGGAGUUGUUGCUUGUUGACGCGUGAGGGAGAAGAAAACGCGUACUGCUGCUGUCUGGUUCACGUGAGCUGCUGGAUUCGGGUCGAUGCUGGAUUUCUGGGUUUGCAUCGCUGGAGAGGAAGAGUAGCAGGGGCGGUGGGUCCUUACAUUGGAAUUGGGUUGGGUGUUGUAUGUAUUGUUAUAUUGUUGGGUUCUUUUUUUUAGUGGGCUGCUGAGUUAUAUUGUUAUAUGGGCUGGAAAUAUGGUCUUAAGAGUAUUGGGCUGCUGCUUUUAGUGUUGGACUGUUGAAAUUGCAAAGAUAAAAGACCCAAAAUUGGUUUGUCCAAAUGGGUUUAGGGUGGGCCAAAGAUGGAUUAGAUUUUAGAGUUUAGGAAAUAGCCAAGUUGAGUUUAGUUGGUGAUUCGGCUAAAAGUUAAAUAAGAUGAAUUAAUAAGAAAUUAAUUAACGAGCUUCUUAAUCUUAACAAAAUAAAAUAAUUAGCUUAAUUGUAAACUAAUUAACUCAAAAAUAUGAGUAUUAAUUAACUAAACCAAUUAACCAACUAUUUAAGUAAGACUAAAAUCUUUUUGAGAUGAUUUUUUGAAUAUUUAUAAAAUAUACAAACUAUACGCAAAAUUAUAUAAGAGACCUAUUAUUAUUUGAAAAUUAUAAAAGAUGACAAACUACUUAAAUAACUUGCAAACUAUAUAUAUAUAUAUAUAUAUAAUUUUAUUAUUAUUAUUAUUAUUAUUAUUAUUUUGAAAUAUCUAAAAUUAAUUAUUUUGAAUCGUUUGAAAAUUAAGAAACUCAGAAAUUAAUUAUUAUCGGGGAGGGUCAAAAUUGGGUGUCAACAAUAUUUUGUGGCAAUGUUUUUAUCCUCUUAAUUUAUCUUGUAGAAUAUGCUAGUUGGUGGAACGAACACUAGUGCAGCUACAAUAAUUUGGGCAAUGACAGCCUUGAUAGAGAACCCAAAUGCCAUGAAGAAAGUUCAAGCUGAAAUUAGAGAAUUGGUUGGGAAAAAGUCCAUAGUGAAUGAGGAUGAUGUCCAAACUCUUCCAUAUUUCAAAGCAGUGAUAAAAGAGACACUUAGAUUGUAUCCACCGGCUCCAUUGUUAGUACCAAGAGAGACGAUGAAAAAUUCCAUACUAGACGGAUAUGAAAUUAAACCAAAAACUAUAAUUUAUGUUAACGCUUGGGCAAUUGCAAGAGAUCCUGAAAUAUGGAAAAAUCCAGAAGAAUUUAUACCUGAGAGGUUUGUGAAUAGUGAUAUUGAUUUUAAGGGCCAAAAUUUUGAGUUGAUUCCAUUUGGAGCAGGCAGAAGAGGGUGCCCGGCUAUGGCACUCGGUGUGGCAAAUGUGGAGCUUGUACUUUCCAAUCUCCUUUACGCUUUUGAUUGGGAGUUGCCUUGUGGAAUGAAAAGAGAAGACAUUGACACCGAUGUUUUGCCAGGACUUACUAUGCAUAAGAAAAAACCUUUGUGCCUUGUUCCUCAAAAUUAUCACUAGAAAUUAAACAAGAAAAAACUCCAAUGUUUAAAUUAUUUAAAUAUGUAUGUAUGAUUUCGUUAGUUAUCCAUGUUUAAUAUGGUCAUAUUGUUUUAUGUCUGUUAUUUUUCGUUUUAAACUUGUAAUGGAGUAGUUGAAGAGGGGAAAACAUUUUCACAAAUAUUUUUUUCUUUGUUAUUUCAUAUUCAAUUAUAUAAAUUUUCAUGUAACAUAAUAAGGUAUUAUUUAUAAAUAAAAUAAAAGCAGC